AUCCGGCUUCACAAAAUCAAAUUUCAGUUUCAAAAUUGUCUUUGCUGACACCUGGCUUUUUGGAUACUUCAGAGGGCCCCUGGAGUGUCCAGAAAAGAGAGACUAAUUCUGCUUGUUCCUGUGAACGUAGCAGCAAUCUCCAGCCGCGGCUCAGAAAGAACAAGAGGGAUGGGUAAUGUAAACAUCUGGAUCAAGGCCGGGUUUGGUGGCUCAUGCCUGUAAUCCCAGCACUUUGCAAGGCUAAGGUAACCAAACUCCAAACAGCAAUGGAACCAGAGCCUCUGAAGGUGGCCCCUUCUGCUGGCAACCCUUAGACAGGCCUCACAGGGAGCCCUGACUGCUGUUUCCCCAAACAGCAUACCCCGUCAGUAGAAAGCACUUAGGAUCGAUUUUCGGGCCCACUUGGUGGCACGUGCCUGUAAUCCCAGCACUUUGGGAGGGCAGGAUGGGUGGAUCACUUGAGGUCGGAAGUCUGAGACCAGCCUGACCAACAUGGCAAAACCUCGUCUCUACUAAAAAUACAAAAAUUAGCCAGGCUAGCCAGGCAUGGUGGCACAUGCCUGUAAUCCCAGCUACUUUGGAGACUGAGGUAGGAGAAUCACUUGAACCCGGGAGGCAGAGAUUGCACUGAGCUGAGAUCGUGCUGCUACACUCCAGCCCGGGUGACAGAGCAAAACCCCGUCUCAAAAAAAAUAAAUAAAUAAAGA
rnacentral:lncRNA from 10 species